ensembl:miRNA mdo-mir-199b-1 mdo-mir-199b-1
CUCCACUCCGUCUACCCAGUGUUUAGACUAUCUGUUCAGGACUCCAAUAUUGUACAGUAGUCUGCACAUUGGUUAGGCUGGGCUGGGCU